rnacentral:rRNA from 1 species
UACGGGAGGCAGCAGUGGGGAAUUUUGGACAAUGGGGGAAACCCUGAUCCAGCCAUGCCGCGUGAGUGAAGAAGGCCUUCGGGUUGUAAAGCUCUUUCGGCCGGGAAGAAAUCGCACAGGCUAAUACUCUGUGUGGAUGACGGUACCGGCAUAAGAAGCACCGGCUAACUACGUGCCAGCAGCCGCGGUAAUACGUAGGGUGCGAGCGUUAAUCGGAAUUACUGGGCGUAAAGCGUGCGCAGGCGGUUAGGUAAGUUUGAUGUGAAAUCCCCGGGCUCAACCUGGGAACUGCAUUGAAGACUGCCUAACUAGAGUACGGCAGAGGGGGGUGGAAUUCCACGUGUAGCAGUGAAAUGCGUAGAGAUGUGGAGGAACACCGAUGGCGAAGGCAGCCCCCUGGGCCGAUACUGACGCUCAUGCACGAAAGCGUGGGGAGCAAACAGGAUUAGAUACCCUGGUAGUCCACGCCCUAAACGAUGUCAACUAGUUGUUGGUAGGGUUAAACCUAUUAGUAACGUAGCUAACGCGUGAAGUGACCGCCUGGA